CAGUCGCCGCGGGAAUACAGAGGGUGCGAGCGUUAAUCGGAUUUACUGGGCGUAAAGCGUGCGUAGGCGGCUUCUUAAGUCGGAUGUGAAAUCCCUGAGCUUAACUUGGGAAUUGCAUUCGAUACUGGUUAGCUAGAGUGUGGGAGAGGAUGGUAGAAUUCCAGGUGUAGCGGUGAAAUGCGUAGAGAUCUGGAGGAAUACCGAUGGCGAAGGCGGCCAUCUGGCCUAACACUGACGCUGAGGUACGAAAGCAUGGGGAGCAAACAGGAUUAGAUACCCCAGUAGUCCCUGUCUCUUAUAC
rnacentral:rRNA from 1 species